AUAAACAGAAGGCCCAAGGCAAGGCAAGAGAGAGAGAGAUGGAGAAGUGGAGGCGAGUGGUGGGUGGGGUCGCCGGCACGCCGGAUUCCGGCGUCCCUGGUCUCCCCUUCCUCCACCGCGCCCUCCUCCUCCCCCUCCUCUUCGCCGCCUCCAAAGCCCUCCGCCUCCUCUCCCACCUCCAGCGCCGCACCUCCACCUCCACCUCCCUCCCCGUCCCCGUCGUCAGCGUCGGCAACCUCACCUGGGGAGGGAAUGGCAAGACCCCCAUGGUCGACUUCCUCGCCCGCGCCUUCCACCGCAUCGGCGUCUCGCCCCUCAUCCUAACCAGGGGCUACGCAGGCGGCGAUGAAUCCAGGAUGCUCCGCCGCCGCCUCUCCGAUACCUCCGCCAAGAUUGGUGUCGGUCCCAAUAGAGCGGCUGUCGCUACCUCCAUGCUCCGCAAAUAUGGUGCUCAAAUUGGAGUCGCCAUACUAGACGAUGGGAUGCAGCACCUCAGCUUGCUUCGAGAUGUUGACAUUGUCAUGAUCAACGCCCUCAAUCCUUGGGGGAACAAACAUCUCAUUCCACGAGGACCCAUGAGGGAACCACUCACUGCACUCACCAGAGCUCAUAUUCUCCUCAUUCAUCAUGCUAACCUGGUUUCUCAACCACAACUUAAAACAAUUCUUUCCACGGUCCACGACAAUGGCGCAACAUGUCCAGUCUUCUUUAGUAAAUUGGUACCAUCGCAUAUUUUUCAAGUCAACCAACCCAUGCACAGGCUUCCUCUUCAUGUGCUGCACGGUAUAAUCGUGCUAUGCGUUUCUGCUAUUGGCUGCCCAGAUGCUUUCAUUCAUUCUGUUCAAGAGGAAAUUUUAGAAUGUUAUUCAUUCAUUGGCUGUAGAUUGGCCCUCUCAAGAUUGAAAGGUUGGAUUUCAGCGAUCACCAUUCCUUCAGUUCUCAUGACCUGCAGCUUAUCCAAGACACGUUGAAGAAGCUUGUGUAUCAGCACAAAAAUAAUGCUGUUGUCUUGGUUACAGAGAAGGAUUAUGACCGUGAUCCAGAUGUCCUUAGGGCACUGGAUGCAAAGGUUUGGGUGUUGUCGUCUUGUCUGCAAAUUAUACCCCAUGAGGGACAAGGAGAUGAUGAAUUUAUGAGGAAAGUGAGGGAGAUUAUUACAGCGAGUAGGCACGUGAAAUUAUAGGAGGGGGCCUAGCCAAGAGUUGCUGAACAUUUAGUUAGAACCAGCUGUAAAAGAAUUUUGAGGCAAAACUAUUUUGCCAGUAGGAUCUGGUACUGCUGCAUCUUGUUCAGGAUUGGUCGAUCAAUUCAAUUCCUGUUGCAGAAUAUGCAUUAUUGAUCUAGUUGUAUUUCCGUUGGAUCAAUGAAUUAAAACCCCAAUUUUAGCUGGGCUUGAUCGAACAGAAAGUGAAGUGCUGCCCUGAAACACCAGCUUAGCUGCUUCA